UGGGGAAUAUUGGACAAUGGGCGAAAGCCUGAUCCAGCCAUGCCGCGUGUGUGAAGAAGGUCUUCGGAUUGUAAAGCACUUUAAGUUGGGAGGAAGGGCAGUAAGCGAAUACCUUGCUGUUUUGACGUUACCGACAGAAUAAGCACCGGCUAACUCUGUGCCAGCAGCCGCGGUAAUACAGAGGGUGCAAGCGUUAAUCGGAAUUACUGGGCGUAAAGCGCGCGUAGGUGGUUCGUUAAGUUGAAUGUGAAAACCCCGGGCUCAACCUGGGAACUGCAUCCAAAACUGGCGAGCUAGAGUAGGGCAGAGGGUGGUGGAAUUUCCUGUGUAGCGGUGAAAUGCGUAGAUAUAGGAAGGAACACCAGUGGCGAAGGCGACCACCUGGGCUCAUACUGACACUGAGGUGCGAAAGCGUGGGGAGCAAACAGG
rnacentral:rRNA from 1 species